rnacentral:rRNA from 1 species
GAUGAACGCUGGCGGCGUGCCUAAUACAUGCAAGUCGAGCGAAAAGACGAGGAGCUUGCUCCUCUGACGUUAGCGGCGGACGGGUGAGUAACACGUGGAUAACCUACCUAUAAGACUGGGAUAACUUCGGGAAACCGGAGCUAAUACCGGAUAAUAUAUUGACCCGCAUGGUUCAAUAGUGAAAGACGGUUUUGCUGUCACUUAUAGAUGGAUCCGCGCCGCAUUAGCUAGUUGGUAAGGUAACGGCUUACCAAGGCAACGAUGCGUAGCCGACCUGAGAGGGUGAUCCGCCACACUGGAACUGAGACACGGUCCAGACUCCUACGGGAGGCAGCAGUAGGGAAGCUUCCGCAAUGGGCGAAAGCUUGACGGAGCAACGCCGCGUGAGUGAUGAAGGUCUUCGGACCGUAAAACUCUGUUAUUAGGGAAGAACGAAUGUGUAAGUAACUAUGCACGUCGUGACGGUACCUAAUCAGAAAGCCACGGCUAACUACGUG